UACGUAGGUGGCGAGCGUUGUCCGGAUUUAUUGGGUUUAAAGGGUGCGUAGGCGGUCCUAUAAGUCAGUGGUGAAAUAUCGCAGCUCAACUGUGAGGGUGCCAUUGAUACUGUAGGACUUGAGUGAAUUUGAGGUAGGCGGAAUUGACGGUGUAGCGGUGAAAUGCUUAGAUAUCGUCAAGAACACCGAUAGUGAAGACAGCUUACCAAGCUUCAACCGACGCUGAGGCACGAAAGUGUGGGGAUCAAACAGG
rnacentral:rRNA from 1 species